GUCCCCAUCGUCUAGCCUGGUCCAGGACACCGGACUUUCACUUCGGCAACAGGAGUUCAAAUCUCCUUGGGGACGCCA
rnacentral:tRNA from 1 species